AAGGGCGCAGACCAAUCGGAACCCGGGGCGGGUGCGCCGCGAUUGAGCCGCAAGGGGAGGGGGAAUUCGAACUAGACCUUUCGUUAGGCCACGCCUCCUCGGCGCGCGCGACGAGCGGGAGCCGGGGGCGGUGAGGUGGUGGGGGAGAGGGGAGACGAGGGCAGACCGAGACUCCCGGGGAGAGGGGAAACCGGCGGGGAGAGUCGGGUGGGCGCGGAGCGCCGGCUCCUGCAGGUGGCCCCGGUGCCCCGAGGCGAUGGCCGAGGACCGAGAUGUUCGAUUUGUCACCGAGGAGAGCUUCGACUUUGGUGUGCUGUCGCCAUCUGACAGCCAAGAGGAAGAGGAUGAGGAUAGCCCAAGCAGGAGGUGCCGGCACGAGGGUAGCAACGGGCGCUGGAGUCCCCUGAGUGGGGCCCAUCUGGAAGAGAUGGUGCGGGAGGCCACGCGCCUGGCAGCACAAUUGGAGGGGUGUCACCUGCCUGCUCCCGGAAACCCCCCUGGACCU
rnacentral:lncRNA from 1 species